AUACUUACCUGACAGGGGAGAUACCAUGAUCAUGAAGGUGGUUUUCCCAGGGUGAGGCUUAUUCAUUAUACUCUGGAUGUACUGCAACCCCCUCUUCCCUCCAGAAAAAAAGAAAUAGCCUCCAAAGAGAUCUUUUGAAUAUAAUGUU
rnacentral:snRNA from 1 species